UUUUCUGCUCCAACCCCACUUCCCUUUGUUCAUCUACAGAGUUCGCAGGCUACAAACACUGUGGUCCUGACUGUGUGGACCUGUCCUUGACUGCAAAUCAUCUUCUUCCAGUACCCACCACUCAAGAGCUUCUUAAGUUGACAUGGACUGAAUUAUUCCCCGAUGGACCGUGUGUGACGGAGCAUGAGCAGUGUACAGAGUGUGUUUAACUUUGGAAGAGGCGGAUGCAGUCCGUGAAGGUCUGGACAGCUGGAAAGAGCCAAUGUCAAGCUGUCUAGGGAGGGUCUUUUGAGUGUUUCCCCAGGUGAAACUGGAUCUUGAGGAGCGUAUAAGAAAACUCCGUGUGCUCGCAGAUGAUGUUGACAGGGUACACAAGAACUGCACCAUCUCCAACAUGGUAGCCGGCUCUGCUGGAGUUGCAUCUGGCCUCCUGACCCUCCUUGGUCUGGGUCUGGCCCCUGUAACAGGAGGUGCCAGUCUGACACUCUCGGCAACUGGAGCAAGGGUGGGAACCGCAGCUGCUGUGACCCAAGUGUCUACCAGCAUCGUGGAAUACUCAAGUAAAUUCGUUCAAGCCCUACAAAACAUUGCAUAGAAUGUUCGUGACAUCAAGGUCGUCAGAGUCAAACCUCGCCUAGCAGAUGAUGCCAGGUGCGUCAUGACAGCUCAGAGUGUCUCAGUUCGAAGUGGCAGCCAGGUGAUAAAAGCUUUUAGAGGUAGUGCUCUGGCAGUGACCAAAGGAGCCCGGAUCAUGGGUGCGGCCACCCCAGGUACCUAUCUUGCAAUGGAUGUGUACAACCUUGUGAAAGACUCAAGGCACUUGAAGGAGGGGGCAAAGGCAGAGUCAGCUGAGGAGCUGAGACAGGAUGCCCGGGAGCUGGAGCGCAAGUUGGAGAUAGUCACCAAGAUCUAUGAAUGUCUGACAGAGGGCCCGACUCCAUGACCCCCCGCAGGGCAGGGAGCACGGACAUGUGUGGGGCAAAGACAUGCAGGUUCCUUAUUAGAGGGGAAGAGAGCACAAAAUAAAGGU